CUUUGCCAUCUGCCACUACUUGUUCUAUCCUUCCCCGCCACCUCCACCACAUUCACCUUUUGUCGUCCACACACUCUACUCUAUCCCCAUACACUUUCUUGCACUCUUGCUUUCUAUCUCUAUGUCAAUAUCUCUCUCCCUUCUCUCUACUCCCAUCUCUCUACAUUCAAGUUUUUAACUCAAGAUCAGAGUUAUUUUAAGUUUGAUUUUUACAUUUGGUUUGUGAAGGAAAGUUGUCAAGCUCGUCAAGUACAUCAAUCCUACUAGUGGAGGUUUUUGUUUUGGCAGUUACUAUUUAUUGUCGAAUGUACUAUUCAUUGUCGGGGCUACUAUUCACCUUUGGAGGUUACUAUUCACCACCGGCAAUUACUAUUCACCGUUGAUCACUAUUCAUCCGGUGGGGUCACAUCUUUCACAAAUUAGGUGAUUCGACCGACCAUUUAAAGAGCAAACCAGUAUUCUGCAGGAAGAAAUGGCCGGUCGGCAACUUUCAGUGCCGGCCGACUAUCAAUACCUAGUCGGUGAUCUAAUUUUUGGUUGAUGACCAUAAUUCCAUGGCCGGUGGUUCUCCCUCUUGGUCGGUGGCCUCCCACAACUCUCAGGGAGUAUUUCAGAAGCAAUUUGGAAACUUGUACAGUCUUCAGAAGAGGAAAACAGUGCAAACAGAGGCAGCACGAGCAUGGCGAUGGAUUUCCGGGCGGAGCCAAGCAUGUGUGCAUUUAUCCCUCUUCCCAAGGCUGUUUUACCGCUUUAUUAGCUUAGUUAAUUUGCUUAACUAGUUAAGUGGUCUGUAUUAAUUAAUUAGCUAGAGUAGUUAAUUAUUUAUUCGGUUUGUACUAUUCUUUCAA